CUGAGGAUCCAACCCGGGCCGCACGCAUGCCAGGCCAGCGCACUACCGCUUGAGCCACAUCCCCAGCCCUGGAAGACCGUUACCACAAGAAACUUCAUGACAUCAAGGUGCUGAGCAUCUCCUAGACAAGGAGGCAGAAAGAAGCAUUUGGAUACCUCAACAAAAGAGAGAAGAUGGAAAGAUAGAGGUCACUUUGAAGUUCAAGAGGUGUCUUUUUUGACCAUGUUCUGUUUGUGACCUACGCCUGGCAAGUGGCAGAAUGCUCGGCGGGAAGAACUUUUUAGAUUUUGGAAUUGUGCAUAAAGGAUCAGAGAACAAUCUGCUUCCAGGAUGCCAGGGAUGUGAACACAGCUCAUGAUUUUGAAGUACCAAUGCAAGAGGUUGGACAGCCAUGGAUCUUUUGGAGCUACAGUUAAAUUUCUUGGAGGAUCACAAAGCUGAGGAGUGAUGGAUUUGAACCCAGACCUGUCUGGCACUACAGCUCUUCUUCCUUCACUCCAAACACACUAAGGCGUUUUGCAAUUUGUCCAUUUAUGUAUUAGUCUCCUCCAAAGGCUGGUGAGUGUCACAUAAUCCAUCUCAAUGUGGAGAAAAUAAAAAUCUUUUUGACCAAACUUUUUUCUGAUAAGCAGUGUAACUACUGGAGCAGGAGAGAAAGCUUCCUUGUUUUAACAGGACUCUAUAGCAUGGGUGCUGGGCAGG